AGCUGCACCAGACCGCGCAGGAAUCCAACCAGACGUCCAUGUCCAUACCCGCUUCCAUAUAUAAAGUCAACUUGCAAGGGGUGAUUAUGCAGCUUCAGGAGCAUUCCUUGUUGUUUACUUGGGGAGGUGAAAAAGUACGAGUUAUUCCAAGGCUCUUGUGAUCAAAGAUCAAUAAACUAGCAACAUAAUUGUGGUUUGGGGUGGAGAUACAUGUGAUCUGGGUACUAAAGUCCAAUUUGAAAGGUUAAUCAUAUGAUGGAGCAAUA